UGUGCUGCUAAGCGUGAACCUGGUGU
rnacentral:piRNA from 1 species